rnacentral:rRNA from 1 species
AUUGAACGCUGGCGGAAUGCUUUACACAUGCAAGUCGAGCGGCAGCGCGGGGGCAACCCUGGCGGCGAGCGGCGAACGGGUGAGUAACAUAUCGGAACGUACCCAGUCGUGGGGGAUAACUAUCCGAAAGGAUAGCUAAUACCGCAUACGACCUGAGGGUGAAAGCGGGGGACCGUAAGGCCUCGCGCGAUUGGAGCGGCCGAUAUCGGAUUAGCUAGUUGGUGAGGUAAAGGCUCACCAAGGCGACGAUCCGUAGCUGGUCUGAGAGGACGACCAGCCACACUGGAACUGAGACACGGUCCAGACUCCUACGGGAGGCAGCAGUGGGGAAUUUUGGACAAUGGGGGGCAACCCUGAUCCAGCCAUUCCGCGUGAGUGAAGAAGGCCUUCGGGUUGGUUAAAGGACUCUUUCAGCAGGAACGAAACGGU